rnacentral:lncRNA from 1 species
GUGCAAUGUUAACUCUCAAAAAUGAUAUUCGAAGAAAACUAAUUGAUCAUCUAAUUGUUUUUAGAUGCAGUUGUAAAUGAAAGCUUUUGAGGCAGUAUUUGCAACAAGAAGAUGACGAGAAGAUCGAUUAUAAUGCAGAGACCAUGGUUGAUAACAUCCAUCUUUUGAUGAAAGUAUUUCUCGGUGUCGUGUUCCGUCCGCAGAUAUUACUACAACAUUUUCACUUCGUAAUCCUGCUACGAAAACGUUGCCAUUAUUGUCCACAGAGAUACCGAGUGGAUGCUUAAGAACAUCAUCUUUCUUAAAUGUCCAUUGUUUGUUACCUUUCAAAUCAUAACAUGUCACGGAAUUUUUGUCGGGAUUUGUCUGGUAAAUAUUGUUAGCAAAAGUUGCAACGUAACAACUGCCAAACCAUUCUUCUCGAACUAUUUUGUGUUCUGAUUCGUCCUGUAGAUUGAUCACGUGGAUUCCGUCGCUACUACUAUAGUAAAUGGUCCCACCAUCACCUCCUGCUAUACCAUAUGCACUCUUCUUAAGUGUUCUCUUUUUCUUUAUUUGUU